rfam:Joostella marina DSM 19592 genomic scaffold Joomascaffold_1, whole genome shotgun sequence.
ACAUACAAAGGCGAUGGAGUUCGCCAAAACCGCCCAAAAAGCUAAUGACUCCUACUCAAUU